GCUGGGCGUGGUGGCGCAUGCCUGUAAUCCCAGCUACUUAGGAGGCUGAGGCAGGAGAAUUGCUUGAACCUGGGAGGCGGAGGUUGCAGUGAGCUGAGAUCGCACCAUUGCAACCCAGCCUGGGCGACAGAGCAAGACUCCGUCUCAA
ensembl:misc_RNA Metazoa_SRP Metazoan signal recognition particle RNA